UAAGCAUAUCAAUAAGCGGAGGAAAAGAAACCAACAGGGAUUACCUUAGUAACGGCGAGUGAAGCGGUAACAGCUCAAAUUUGAAAUCUGGGUCUUUUAGGCUCCGAGUUGUAAUUUGUAGAAGAUGCUUUGGGUGCGGCCCCGGUCUAAGUUCCUUGGAACAGGACGUCAUAGAGGGUGAGAAUCCCGUAUGUGAUCGGUGGCUUGCGCCCGUGUAAAGCUCUUUCGACGAGUCGGGUUGUUUGGGAAUGCAGCUCUAAAUGGGUGGUAAAUUUCAUCUAAAGCUAAAUAUUGGCCAGAGACCGAUAGCGCACAAGUAGAGUGAUCGAAAGAUGAAAAGCACUUUGGAAAGAGAGUUAAACAGUACGUGAAAUUGUUGAAAGGGAAGCGCUUGCAACCAGACUUGCGCGGGGUUGAUCAUCCGGGGUUCUCCCCGGUGCACUCGGCCUCGCUCAGGCCAGCAUCGGUUUUGGUGGUUGGAUAAAGGCCUUGGGAAUGUGACUUCUUUCGGGGAGUGUUAUAGCCCUCGGUGCAAUGCAGCCUACCGGGACCGAGGACCGCGCUUCGGCUAGGAUGCUGGCGUAAUGGUUGUAAGCGACCCGUCUUGAAACACGGACCAAGGAGUCUAACAUCUAUGCGAGUGUUUGGGUGUCAAACCCAUACGCGUAAUGAAAGUGAACGGAGGUGAGAACCCUUAAGGGUGCAUCAUCGACCGAUCCUGAUGUCUUCGGAUGGAUUUGAGUAAGAGCAUAGCUGUUGGGACCCGAAAGAUGGUGAACUAUGCCUGAAUAGGGUGAAGCCAGAGGAAACUCUGGUGGAGGCUCGCAGCGGUUCUGACGUGCAAAUCGAUCGUCAAUUUGGGCAUAGGGCGAAAGACUAAUCGAACCAUCUAGUAGCUGGUUCCUGCCGAAG
rnacentral:rRNA from 1 species